UGGGGAAUAUUGGACAAUGGGCGCAAGCCUGAUCCAGCCAUGCCGCGUGAGUGACGAAGGCCUUAGGGUUGUAAAGCUCUUUUGGCGGGGAAGAUAAUGACGGUACCCGCAGAAUAAGCUCCGGCUAACUUCGUGCCAGCAGCCGCGGUAAUACGAAGGGAGCUAGCGCUGUUCGGAAUCACUGGGCGUAAAGCGCACGUAGGCGGAUGUGUCAGUCAGGGGUGAAAUCCCGGAGCUCAACUUCGGAACUGCCCUUGAUACAGCACGUCUUGAGUCCGAUAGAGGUGGGUGGAAUUCCUAGUGUAGAGGUGAAAUUCGUAGAUAUUAGGAAGAACACCGGUGGCGAAGGCGGCCCACUGGAUCGGUACUGACGCUGAGGUGCGAAAGCGUGGGGAGCAAACAGGAUUAGAUACCCCUGUAGUCCCUGAGCGGGCUGGCAAGGCGCAU
rnacentral:rRNA from 1 species